rnacentral:rRNA from 1 species
GAUGAACGCUGGCGGCGUGCCUAAUACAUGCAAGUCGAGCGAACAGACGAGGAGCUUGCUCCUCUGACGUUAGCGGCGGACGGGUGAGUAACACGUGGAUAACCUACCUAUAAGACUGGGAUAACUUCGGGAAACCGGAGCUAAUACCGGAUAAUAUAUUGAACCGCAUGGUUCAAUAGUGAAAGACGGUUUUGCUGUCACUUAUAGAUGGAUCCGCGCCGCAUUAGCUAGUUGGUAAGGUAACGGCUUACCAAGGCGACGAUGCGUAGCCGACCUGAGAGGGUAAACGGCCACACUAGAACUGAGACACGGUCCAGACUCCUACGGGAGGCAGCAGUAGGGAAUCAACCGCAAUGGGCGAAAGCCUGACGGAGCAACGCCGCGUGAGUGAUGAAGGUCUUCGGAUAGUAAAACUCUGUUAUUAGGGAAGAACAAAUGUGUAAGUAACUAUGCACGUCUUGACGGUACCUAAUCAGAAAGCCACGGCUAAAUACGUG